rnacentral:lncRNA from 10 species
CUCUGUGAACAUGUAACUGCCCAAUGGGUUCACCUUGCCCACUGCCUAGAUAGAGCCGAUUUAUCAAGACAGGGGAACUGCAAUGGAGAAAGAGUAAUUCACACAGAGCCAGCUGUGGGUGAAACCAGAGUUUUAUUAUUAUUCAGAUCAGUCUUCCCAAGCAUAUGGGGAUCAGAGUCUUAAAAGAUAAUUUGGUGGGUAAGAGCUUGGGAGGCGGGGAGUGCUGAUUGGUUAGGUUGGAGAUGGAUUGAAUAGGGGAUUUAAGUGAUGUUUUCUUGCUGUCUUCUGUUCCUGGGUAGGAUGGCAGAACUGGUUGAGCCAGAUUACCAGUCUGGGUGGUAUCAGUUGAUCCAUCCAGUGCAGGGUCUGCAAAAUAUCUCAAGCGCUGAUCUAGGUUUUACAAUAGUGAUAUUAUCCACAGGAGCAAUUUGGGGAGGUUCAGACUCUUGGAGCCAGAGGCUGCAUGACCCCUAAACCACAGCUUCUCAUCUUGUAGCUAAUUUGUUAGUUGUGCAAAGGCGGGUCCUAGGCAAGAAGGGGGUCUUUUCAGGAAAGGUCUAUUAUCAAUUUUGUUUCCGAGUCAAACCAUAAACUGAAUUCCUUCCCAAAGUUAGUUCUGUCUAUGUCCAGGAAUGAACCAGGACAACUUAAAGGUUAGAAGCAAGAUGGAGUCAGUUAGGUCUGAUCUCUUUCACUGUCAUAAUUUCCUUAGUUAUAAUUUUUGUAAAGGGUGUUUCAAACCCCCCUCCUUUCCCCUGAUCUUGGCCCUAUGAGGCCCACUCUCUUGAUGUUAUAUGCCCCUGGAGAAGCCACAAGUGACACCUAGCCAGCCUUGAUGAGAGCUGGCAAGUUCCAGGCACUGGGGGUGGGCGCCCAGGAGACAACAGCUGGAAGGGAAGGCUCUGGUAGAGUUGUGGCCCCUUCCACCUCCGGCUCUCUGUCCCUGCAGGGGAAGACACAGCUCAGGCUGACAGCAGCUCAGAGGGCAGCUUUGAAACCCAGCAGGGAGAUAACAGAAGACAAAGAAACCAAAGUCUCCCUGAUAACUCGCCAGGAAGCCAACACAAAACAAAACAUAGAUAACAAGCGGACUGCCUCUCUCAAGGCCAAACUGUUUUAAAAGAGAGUCCUGCUGUGGACGUUGGGCUUAAAGACUGUGCAGCUGAUAAAGUGAUCCCUUUGAUGGGGAGCUAAAGAGAUAGAUGAGGCUCCACCAGCAUGGUUUGGGGACCUCCAAAGAAACUGUGCUCCUAGCUGGACAGCAGCUAGGCAGCUGGAUACCUCCAGCCCUCUGAGUUUUGGCUUCAUUCCCUAGGGUCAAGGCGAGGUCUUCCUAUUUCAGUUUUCCCAGUUAGCCUAAAGUUGUUUUAGUUUUGAAGUUUAUUUUAUUAUUAUUAUUAUUAUUAUUAUUAUUUGGAGAGAGUCUCGCUCUGUUACCCAGGCUGAAGUGCAGUGAUGUGAUCUCAGCUCACUGCAACCUCUGCCUCCCAGAUUCAAGCAAUUCUCCUGAAUCAGCCUCCCAAGAAGCUAGGACUACAGGCAUGCACCACCACACCUGGCUAAUAUUUUUCUAUUUUUAGUAGAGAUGGGGUUUUGCUGUGUUGUCCAGGCUGGUCUUGAACUACUGAGCUCAGGCAAUCCGCCUGCCUCGGCCUCCCAAAGUGCUAGGAUUACAGGCGUGAGCCACUGUGCACAGAUAUAUUUUUUGUGUGUGUGUGGUGGGGGGCUGUGGGUGGUGAUGUUGAUUUUAAACAAAGCCAAGGAGAUGAUGUUUCUACAAAAUGCUCCAUCAAGUGUCUUUGAACCAAGGAGGGCCUUUGAGGCCAUAUGGUAUAAUGGAGAGCUCCUGGCCUUGGCUUCAGACAUAUGUCCCAGGACCCUGGGCAAGCGACUGGCUUUUCUAUGAGCCUUGGUGCUCUCACUGGGGCAAUGAAGACGAUAAGCCCAAUGGAACAGGACUGGGUGAGGAUCAAGCGAUGACGGAUAGUGCUGGGUGCAGUAGCUUAUGUCUGUAGUCCCAGCUACUUGGGAGGCUGAGGUGGGAGGAUCACCUGAGGUCAGGAGUUUGGGUCUGCCGUGAGCUGUGAUUGCGCCUGUGAAUAGUCACUGCACUCCAGCAUGGGCAACAGAAGGAGAUCCUCUUUCUCAAGCAAACAAACAAGAGAUGAAAGAUAUGAAGUGCUCAGCUAGUACUGCCCUUAGCUGUGGCAUGGGGCCCUUGUCUAAGCCAUAUGCUUUAGAGAACCUCACUGUGGUCCUCUUCUGCUCCUCGGCCCAUUGGGACUAAGGCUUGAACCCAUGUGGAGCCCACGACCUUCUUCUAGACCCCAAGCCCACUUUCCAGAGCUCAGCUGGCCUCCAACCCACGUUGCUUCCCAGGACAUGAACAGGCAGCAGGAUAUGAACUUCUAGGCCCAAAGGAUGGCCAAUGGGGGCUGUUUGUGCAAAGGGACAUGGGGAGGGUAUAGAAGUUUGUACAGGCAUUCUGCAGCUCCCACACACGCGAACCCGAGGCUGCUCCUGGUGCAGGAUGGAGCCUGUGAUCAAAUACAUUCCAGUUACAGUUAUGUAACAAAACACCCCAAGGCUUAGUGGCAUGAAACAGCAACAAUCAUUAUAUUAUUAUGCCUCAGGGACUGAGGCACGCCAGGGAUGCCUUGCCUAAGCCUCCUUCCCUGUGUCCCCCUUCCAGGAGGGGAAACCGGGGGUGGGAGAGAGGGCAGAUUGGAGCCAUGUGGCCAGAUGGUUCUGCAGGAGGCAUUUUCGGUUUCCGUGGGGAUGCUAGGAACGCCAGUCCGGAAGGAGGGAAAGGUGCCUUCAGCAUAACAAGACCCUCCACAGGGAAGGGGGCAAGGUCAUGAGAAUGGAGGAAAGCGAGGGCCUCAAGCUAAAGGACACACCCCCCUCUGGGACCUUUGGAAGAAAGAAGUCCUCCCAGAGGGAAGGAGAGUUUGCCCUCAGGUCCUUAAAAGGAGAAAAGGCAAAGCAGUCUGGCUGGUAGAGAAGCCACUGGCUGGGAGGAAGAACGCAUCAUUGUCUCCAACCUCAGGCCAGACGCAUCCCACCAGGGGAAUCCCAGACACCCAGGAGGCCUCCCAGGGGCUGGACUGGGCUUUAGUUUCUGAAGGGAUUGAUAGCCAGUCCUGGCAGGGGGAGUUGCAGAGACAGCAACUCAGGAAGGUUAGAGAGAGGGCUGGGCAUCAGCGGGGAGUGGGGAGAAGAAGUGGGUCAAGGAAGGAGGGCGUCUCCGCAUAGGCACCCCAGAAGGUCCUGGCUGUGAGAGAGAGCCCCCUUCUCCGAGAGGAGUUAGUUCUCCAAAGGCAUAGCCUAAUCCGCCAUAUCCAUCCAAGCGCGCAGUUUGCUUCUGUUCUCAGGCUCUGGGCAGCUUUGGGACGGAAAGGGUUCCUUUCAGUGGGCUGUGCUGCCUGGAGGCAGCCAGGACCAGGUCUGGGCAGGUCUGGUAGGUGGCAAGGUAAGUGAAGAGGGGCCACUUUGCUCAGCGAGCUGAAUAGCAAAGGCCUACACGGGAUUGCCAGAUUUACCAAACAACAAUACAGGACUCCAUUACAUUUGAAUUUCAGAUAAACAUUGAAUUUUUUUUUAGGAUGAGGAGGUUCUAUGCAGUAUUUGGGAUAUACUUAUACUAAAAGAGUAUUUGUUAUCUUAAAUCUAAUUUUAACUAAGCUUUCUAUAUUUUAUCUGGCAGCCCUAGGCCUGCCCCACUAGGGUCCCCAGUUGCCCCUCACAAGGACCAUCCCCAGACACCCUUGCCCUAAAGCAUAGAGACCCAGGACCUUGGCAACAGAAGGAAGUGGCCUUUUUUGGUGCAUUCUAGAAUUCCUGGCAGGCCUCCCCUCUCCCCAGCACCUGCCUCCAUUCCUUCCGCACACAUUUUUAGGUCUGGCACCAGAGAUCCUAUGGCAGAGUAAGCCCUGGGAGGAUGCUAGGUGAGUUGCAGUGCAUCCCACCUUACUUGUGUAUCUGCAGCCCUUCACUAAUCAUGGCUGCAAUGGCCUUUUCUUGGAGGAGUCAGAGAGAUUGACUGUGGUACUUGGGCUUAAAGAAUGCUUGGGAGAAAAUGGAGAUGGACGCAGGGACAGAAACGCAUGCAAAUACGUUCUGGGAAUCCCAGUAACUUCUGUGGCUUGACCUGUGUUUGGAUAAAGAGCGAGGACAUGCCAGUGGCAAAGAGGCAAAGGCCAGUCACUUAAGGCUUUGGAUCUUAGGCCAAGGCAUCUGUACUUUACACUCAGCAGUAGAGAGCCAUGGAAGAGGUGCUUUAAAAUUGUUUAUUUGGGUGUGGUGGCUCACACCUGUAAUCUGAACACUUUGGGAGGCCAGGUGGGAGGAUUACUUGAGCCCAGGAAUUUCUGAUCAGCCUGGGCAACAUGGUGAAACCCCAACUCUACAAAAAAUACAAAAAUUAGCUGGGCAUGGUGGCAUGCACCAGUAGCCCCAGCUACUCAGGAGGCUGAGGCAGGAGGAUCAAUGGAGCCCGGGAGGUCAAGGCUGCAGUGAGUUAUGAUUAUGCCAGUGCACACCAGUCUGGGUAACAGAGCAAGAUCCUGUCUGAAAAAAUUAUUUAUUUGUUGGUUAAAGUAAGUAAACAAGUAAUACAAUACGGAACAGCAGUGUUGUCAAAGUAUGGCCUAUGGACCCUGGAGGUCCCCAAGAUACUUAGAGAUCUGCAAGGUCAAAACUAUGUUUAUAGUAAUACUCAGACAUUCUAUGCCCUUUUCAUUCAAAUGAUGUGUUAUCAUUUGACUGACUGCUUGAGAGCAAUGGCGAGUGAACGUGUCAUUGCUUCAACACAAGUUAAGGCAGUAGUGCCUGAGAGGAUCAAAAUAUGCCACUCCAAAAUAAGCCACUUUGGCAGAAGAACUAUUUUGAGUGGAAUGCAACUGGGAAUCAACAGUUGCAGGAUGAGUUCUCUGCUUUCCUCUUAGCUGCAAAAAACAGGGCAUAAAUUUCCCUUUGUGAAUACCAAGAUGAUUUUGCAUAAACAGACCUUACUAAAAUAACCUCUAUCGUCCAUUCGUUCCCCCAUAUAUUUCCUAGCCACUUCCCCACAAUUUGUCACCCUUGAUGCCCAAACCCUCUUUCCUUUGUUAAAAUGUUGUGUAAGUCCCCAUGUCUAAUGACUUCUUUGAGUUUCAGUUCUUUUCUGUGAACUCUCAUGCAGGUAAAUAUUCAUAAAAGUUGUGUGCCUUUUCUCCUGUUAUUCUGUCCUUUGUCAGUUUAAUUCACAGACCUCUAAUCAAUGAACCUGAGUGCAGACAAAACGUUUUUCCUCCCUGACACUGCAGCCUUGACAUUUCAUUUAUGAAUGACCUUGAUGGAACAGUAAAAAAUACUUUUAUUAACUCUCAAUCUGUGAGCAGUAUAUAUCUUUCUAUGCUUGAUAUUUUGUGUGAUGAAAGGAGGAGUAUGUAGAAAGCACUUCUGCUGCUUACCAAAGGAUGAUGGGCUUCUCUAAGGAAAAGCGCUUGUGUGAUUGUCUGAGUUGUCAGCCAAACUAGCUGCUUUUUUCAUAGAACACCAUUUUUACUUGAAAGACUGACAAACUAUGGUUAUUCCGACUGGUAUUUAGCAGACAUUUCUUAACAAUAAAUAAAGUGAAACUGUCACUCCAUAAAAGCAACUGACAGCAUUUGUUGCCAAUGAUAAAAUUUGAGCUUUCAAGCAAAAGUUAGAAUUUUGGAAAAUGUGUAUCCACCAUUGUGAGCUUAACAAGCUUCUAAGUACUUAAACACUUUUUUUUUCCUUUCUUUUCUUUUUUUUUUUUUUGUGUGAGAUGGAGUCUUGCUCUGUCACCCAGGCUGGAGUGCAAUGACAUAAUCUCAGCUCACUGUAACCUCUGCCUCCUGGGUUCAAGCAAUUCUCCUGCCUCAGCCUCCUGAGUAACUGGAAUUACAGGCACACGCCACCACACCUGGCUAAUUUUUGUAUUUUUAGUAAAGAUGGGGUUUCACCAUGUUGGCCAGGCUGGUCUUGAACUCCUGACCUCAGGUGAUGUACCCACCUCGGCCUCCCAAAGUGCUGGGAUUACAGGCAUGAGUCACCGUGCCCAGCCUUACUUAAACAAUUUUCUUAUGAGAUUAGUAGUGAUAUUAACACACAUGAUUUUUCAAUAUUGUCUAACAAAAUGUGUCAAAAA